GUGUUUCCUUCAGCAGCACAUAUACUAAAACUAGAACGAUCCAGAGAAGAUUAGCAUGGUCCCUGGGCAAAGAUGACCUCAAAUUUAUAAAGCGUUCCACAUUUUU
ensembl:snRNA LOC120102584 U6 spliceosomal RNA